rnacentral:rRNA from 1 species
GACGAACGCUGGCGGCGUGCUUAACACAUGCAAGUCGAACGUGAUUUUUGUGGAAAUUCUUUCGGGAAUGGAAGCGAAAUGAAAGUGGCGAACGGGUGAGUAACACGUGAGCAACCUACCUUACACAGAGGGAUAGCCGUUGGAAACGACGAUUAAUACCGCAUGAGACCACAGAAUCGCAUGAUAUAGGGGUCAAAGAUUUAUCGGUGUAAGAAGGGCUCGCGUCUGAUUAGCUAGUUGGAAGGGUAAAGGCCUACCAAGGCGACGAUCAGUAGCCGGUCUGAGAGGAUGAACGGCCACAUUGGAACUGAGACACGGUCCAAACUCCUACGGGAGGCAGCAGUGGGGAAUAUUGCACAAUGGGGGGAACCCUGAUGCAGCGACGCCGCGUGAGCGAAGAAGGUUUUCGAAUCGUAAAGCUCUGUCCUAUGAGAAGA